rnacentral:rRNA from 1 species
GAUUCAUCGGAAGAGGAUGGGCAUGCGGCGCAUUAGCUAGACGGCGGGGUAACGGCCCACCGUGGCGACGAUGCGUAGGGGUUCUGAGAGGAAGGUCCCCCACACUGGUACUGAGACACGGACCAGACUCCUACGGGAGGCAGCAGUGAGGAAUAUUGGUCAAUGGGAGAGAUCCUGAACCAGCCAAGCCGCGUGAGGGAAGACGGCCCCAUGGGUUGUAAACCUCUUUUGUCGGAGAACAAAACCCGGGACGAGUCCCGGACUGCGUGUAUCCGAAGAAAAAGCAUCGGCUAACUCCGUGCCAGCAGCCGCGGUAAUACGGAGGAUGCGAGCGUUAUCCGGAUUUAUUGGGUUUAAAGGGUGCGUAGGCGGUCUGUUAAGUCAGCGGUAAAAUUGCGGGGCUCAACCCCGUCGAGCCGUUGAAACUGGCAGACUUGAGUUGGCGAGAAGUACGCGGAAUGCGCGGUGUAGCGGUGAAAUGCAUAGAUAUCGCGCAGAACUCCGAUUGCGAAGGCAGCGUACCGGCGCCAGACUGACGCUGAGGCACGAAAGCGUGGGGAUCGAACAGGAUUAGAUACCCUGGUAGUCCACGCAGUAAACGAUGAAUGCUGGUUGUCCGGGUCGAAUGAGACCUGG